rnacentral:rRNA from 1 species
AAUUGACGGGGGCCCGCACAAGCGGAGGAACAUGCUGUUUAAUUCGAUGAUACGCGAGGAACUUUACCCGGGCUCAAACGGGGAGUGACUCAGGCAGAGACGCCUGUUUCCCACGGGACACUCCCCGAGGUGCUGCAUGGUUGUCGUCAGCUCGUGCCGUGAGGUGUCGGCUUAAGUGCCAUAACGAGCGCAACCCCCGCGUGCAGUUGCUAACAGAUAACGCUGAGGACUCUGCACGGACUGCCGGCGCAAGCCGCGAGGAAGGCGGGGAUGACGUCAAAUCAGCACGGCCCUUACGUCCGGGGCGACACACGUGUUACAAUGGGUGGUACAGCGGGAAGCCAGGCGGCGACGCCGAGCGGAACCCGAAAUCCACUCUCAGUUCGGAUCGGAGUCUGCAACCCGACUCCGUGAAGCUGGAUUCGCUAGUAAUCGCGCAUCAGCCAUGGCGCGGUGAAUACGUUCCCGGGCCUUGUACACACCGCCCGUCAAGCCAUGGGAGCCGAGGGCGCUUGAAGUGCGUCGCCGCGAGGCGCGCCCUAGAGCGAAAUCGGUGACUGGGGCUAAGUCGUAACAAGGUAACCGU